UACAGAGGUCUCAAGCGUUGUUCGGAUUCAUUGGGCGUAAAGGGUGCGUAGGCGGCGCGGUAAGUCGGGUGUGAAAUCUCGGGGCUUAACUCCGAAACUGCAUUCGAUACUGCCGUGCUUGAGGACUGGAGAGGAGACUGGAAUUUACGGUGUAGCGGUGAAAUGCUUAGAGAUCGUCCAGAACACCGAUAGCGAAGGCAGCUUACUAAGGAGUAACUGACGCUGAGGCACGAAAGUGUGGGGAUCAAACAGG
rnacentral:rRNA from 1 species